rnacentral:sRNA from 1 species
AUGACAGCUUCGCAGACUAGCAUCUUCUAUCCACAAAACAGGUACAGUUCCACAGACUGUAACACCAAAGAUGCUCAGGCCUGCCCUGGAGGGACCUCCUCCAGGGAUGAGAGGGAAGUUUGGUCUCUAUGGUCCAUUCAGUCACUAGUAUCU